rnacentral:rRNA from 1 species
UACGGGGGGGGCAAGCGUUGUUCGGAAUUACUGGGCGUAAAGGGCGCGUAGGCGGCCCACUAGGUCAGACGUGAAAUCCCCAGGCUUAACCUGGGAACUGCGUCGGAUACUGGAUGGCUUGAAUUCGGGAGAGGGAUGCAGAAUUCCAGGUGUAGCGGUGAAAUGCGUAGAUAUCUGAAGGAACAUCAGUGGCGAAAGCGACUUCCUGGACCAAUACUGACGCUCAUGUGCGAAAGCGUGGGGAGCAAACAGG